UCCUCCACAAUAUUCGACAAUUGAGUUAUUCGUCGUCCCCAACUCCACUCUGCUUUCAACUCAAGAAUAACAGACGGUUUCUUUCUUUCUAGCUUCUUCUUCUUCUUCUUCUUGUCUACAAUGGAAUGGGUAAAGCUAAUGGUUGGAACCGAUUAGGGGCAACCUCUUUUUCUUCUUGUCUGCAAUCGAGUAGGUAAUGUAAUCGUUGAAACCAAACAAGGCAACCACACCACACUUUAUUUGUUCGUGAUUACCCUAUUCGGUUUCAAUCGAAUAGGGUAAUCACGUUUUUUGUUUGUGCAUCAUUGAUGAAAUCUGGAUUUUUUUUUUGACCUUUUGCCUUCUUCUUUGCAAUCAAACAGGACAACCUCUUCUUCUUCUUGUCUACAACCGAUUAGGUAUUGUAAUCAUUGAAACCGAACAGGGCAACGGAAGAGUGACCGUUUGAAUCAUUUAAGCAAGGUUGCUUGACCCUCCGUAUUCUAAGGUUGAAUAUGUAAACAAGACAACAAUAGGCAGAUGGGAGCAUGAUUUGAAGAAGUCAUAGUUUUUACAUUUUUUUUGGUUUGAUAUGUAACAAAACUAGUUAUUAUACAUUUAUUAUGAUGGAUGUAUAGAAACUUUAAAAUUUGGAUAUAUAUGGAUAUAUUAUAUUUUGUUAUUGAA